rnacentral:rRNA from 1 species
AACAAAAACAUGUCCUUUAGAUUGGAAUUUGAGGUCUAACCUGCCCAUUGAGGAAUUAAAAGGCCGCAGUAUUUUGACUGUGCGAAGGUAGCAUAAUCAUUAGUUUUUUAAUUGAGAGCUAGAAUGAAUGGUUGGACGAGAUAUAUUCUGUCUUUAAAUUAUUUUUAGAAUUUAAUUUUUAAGUUAAAAAGCUUAAAUAUUUUUAAAAGACGAGAAGACCCUAUAGAUCUUUAUAUAAUUUUUUUUAUGAUUUUUAUGGAUAAUUUAUUUUUAUAUAAAAUUUUAUAUUUUAUUGGGGUAAUAAAAAGAUUUACUAAAUUCUUUUUGUAUUUAACAUUUAUGAAUGAAUUUAAUGAUCCUUUAUUAAUGAUUAUAAGAUUAAGUUACCUUAGGGAUAACAGCGUAAUUUUUUUAAAGAGUUCAUAUCGAUAAAAAAGUUUGCGACCUCGAUGUUG